rnacentral:rRNA from 1 species
GUUCAUAACCCUUUGUUGUCCGACUCUGUUGCCUCCGGGGCGACCCUGCCUUCGGGCGGGGGCCCCGGGUGGACACUUCAAACUCUUGCGUAACUUUGCAGUCUGAGUAAACUUAAUUAAUAAAUUAAAACUUUUAACAACGGAUCUCUUGGUUCUGGCAUCGAUGAAGAACGCAGCGAAAUGCGAUAAGUAAUGUGAAUUGCAGAAUUCAGUGAAUCAUCGAAUCUUUGAACGCACAUUGCGCCCCCUGGUAUUCCGGGGGGCAUGCCUGUUCGAGCGUCAUUUCACCACUCAAGCCUCGCUUGGUAUUGGGCAACGCGGUCCGCCGCGUGCCUCAAAUCGACCGGCUGGGUCUUCUGUCCCCUAAGCGUUGUGGAAACUAUUCGCUAAAGGGUGUUCGGGAGGCUACGCCGUAAAACAACCCCAUUUCUAAGGUUGACCUCGGAUCAGGUAGGGAUACCCGCUGAACUUAAGCAUAUCAAUAA